GCACUGCUGAGGAGCCGCAAAAUAGGACGAAACGGCCGUCCAGUGC
rnacentral:hammerhead_ribozyme from 1 species